rnacentral:rRNA from 1 species
CGAAGGUGGCAAGCGUUACUCGGAAUUACUAGGCGUAAAGGGCAGGUAGGUGGUUUGGUAAGCCUGUUGUGAAAGCUCCUGGCUUAACUGGGAGAGGUCAACGGAUACUGCCGGACUUGAGUAUGGGAGAGGUUACUGGAAUUCCCGGUGUAGCGGUGAAAUGCGCAGAGAUCGGGAGGAACACCAAUGGCGAAAGCAGGUAACUGGACCAUUACUGACACUCAGCUGCGAAAGCUAGGGGAGCAAACAGGAUUAGAUACCCUGGUAGUCCUAGCCGUAAACGAUGCACUUUAGACGUGAGGGGUUUCGACCCCCUUCGUGUCGACGCUAACGCAUUAAAAGUGCCGCCUGGGGAGUACGGCCGCAAGGUUG